UCCGGCUCUUAUCGAAGGCGUCGCUGGUUCUUUUGUAGCGAGUGACGAUCAAAAAGAAGCCGAAAUCAACACUUUUACCGACGGUCGCUGUGCAGCUGCUUCAUAGUCGCUUCAGCAACAUUAAGGAAAAGGACACUG